UCUUUUAAUUAGAGGCUUGUAUGAAUGGUUAAACAAAAUAUUUUCUGUUUCAUAAAAUAUUAAUUGAAUUUUAUAUUUUAGUAAAAAAGCUAAAAUAAAAUUAUAGGACGAGAAGACCCUAUAGAACUUUAUAUUUUAAAAUAAAAAUAAUAUUUAUUUAAUAAUUUUUAUUUUAAAAUAUUUUAUUGGGGUGAUAAUAAAAUUUUUAAAACUUUUAUAAUUUUAUUACAUUAAUUUAUGAAUAAUUGAUCCAUUAUAAUGAUUAUUAAUUUAAGUUACCUUAGGGAUAACAGCGUUAUAUUUUUUAAAAGUUCAUAUUAAUAAAAAAGAUUGC
rnacentral:rRNA from 1 species